UACAGAGGGUGCGAGCGUUAAUCGGAAUUACUGGGCGUAAAGCGCACGUAGGCGGAUCGUUAAGUCGGGGGUGAAAUCCUGGAGCUCAACUCCAGAACUGCCUUCGAUACUGGCGAUCUUGAGUCCGGAAGAGGUGAGUGGAACUCCUAGUGUAGAGGUGGAAUUCGUAGAUAUUAGGAAGAACACCAGUGGCGAAGGCGGCUCACUGGUCCGGUACUGACGCUGAGGUGCGAAAGCGUGGGGAGCAGACAGG
rnacentral:rRNA from 1 species